rnacentral:lncRNA from 1 species
GACAUAUUAUUAGUUGAGUAGUGAAGUGUUUUUCUGCUUAUUCUGAGUUUGUCUUUUCCAAUUGUAUCUAUAGGAAAUGAGAAAGGAAAAUUUUGUUAGUGUGAACAAAAUUCAUCUACUAUUCAUCCCUGUGAAGUUGCUGAUAGAAAAACCUCCUGAAUGUUCCACGUUUGUUCCUGGACCCACUCAAAUAACGGACAGAGGAUCAAAGUGCUACCUGUUUCAUGUACAGACCAGAAAAAGAGAUGAAUCUGUAUGAGGGUUAGGUAUCCAUAUAAAGAGUGUAAGAAAACACCAAAAGGCUAAGCCAGAGAGGAUAUGGACCUGGCUGAUUAUACUGAUCAAGGCUGUUCCUAACCCACUGUCACCUUACCAAGAAAAGAAAAGAAAACAAAAUUAGACACUAAAGAGCACGCAAAGACCAAGUCAGAGAACAUGGACCAUAAUGCAUCAUUGUGUACUGAAGAAUUAACUUUACUCAAAGAGAAGUCUGGCCUUGGUCUCAGCUCUGAGAAGGUAAUUGUUCUAAAUCUUUGGAAUUUCCCAGAGGAUAGGAGUCUUUGUUAUUCAUGGUGAGUCCCUCAGGCCACACUUAACAGAUAAUGAGGUGACUCCUGGUGGGCCAUUUGAUAGUUUAUGCUAAAACAAUGACUAAGAGUGGAGGCUGGCCAAGUCAAAAAGACCAACACUGUUGGUUGAUUACAUGGUUGUAAUUGGAGGUUGUGGGGUUUUGAGCCAUGUGAUAUCAGUUCAACUUCUGGGGUAGAAGGACCUGGAGAUGAGUGCAACCACAGGGGGAAAGAUUCAACCAAUUAUACCUAGGCAAAGAGUGAG